rnacentral:rRNA from 1 species
UACGGCGAGUGAGCGGCAAAAGCUCAAAUUUGAAAUCUGGCACCUUCGGUGUCCGAGUUGUAAUUUGAAGAAGGUAACUUUGGAGUUGGCUCUUGUCUAUGUUCCUUGGAACAGGACGUCACAGAGGGUGAGAAUCCCGUGCGAUGAGAUGCCCAAUUCUAUGUAAAGUGCUUUCGAAGAGUCGAGUUGUUUGGGAAUGCAGCUCUAAGUGGGUGGUAAAUUCCAUCUAAAGCUAAAUAUUGGCGAGAGACCGAUAGCGAACAAGUACAGUGAUGGAAAGAUGAAAAGAACUUUGAAAAGAGAGUGAAAAAGUACGUGAAAUUGUUGAAAGGGAAGGGCUUGAGAUCAGACUUGGUAUUUUGCGAUCCUUUCCUUCUUGGUUGGGUUCCUCGCAGCUUACUGGGCCAGCAUCGGUUUGGAUGGUAGGAUAAUGACUAAGGAAUGUGGCUCUACUUCGGUGGAGUGUUAUAGCCUUGGUUGAUACUGCCUGUCUAGACCGAGGACUGCGUCUUUGACUAGGAUGCUGGCAUAAUGAUCUUAAGCCACCCGUCUU